UGCUUUGCCCAUCUUGCAACCAGGCCUU
rnacentral:piRNA from 1 species